UUGGUGUUCAACCUUACAGUGAG
rnacentral:miRNA from 1 species